ACUUUGUCAUGUUCUCCAGGGUUUCCAGGGCAAAAAUGGUCCUCACGGGCCCCCAGGUGUCGUUGGACCUCAGGGUAAAUCUGGAGAGACAGGGCCAACUGGAGACAGAGGCCAUCCAGGUUCACCGGGACCACCCGGUGAGCACGGUUUACCAGGAUCGGCUGGAAAGGAGGGCGCCAAGGGAGAUCCAGGUCCACCAGGUGCCCUAGGGAAAACUGGUCCCCCCGGACACCAAGGCUUCAGAGGGAGCAGAGGGAACCCUGGUGCAACGGUAACACAUCUUAUACCUUUACCUUGUGAAAAUAUUUAGUCUUUAAUGUAAUGUCCUCUAAGACCUGAAGGGAAUGUCUGUACUGAA